UUAAGCAUAUCAAUAAGCGGAGGAAAAGAAACCAACAGGGAUUGCCCCAGUAACGGCGAGUGAAGCGGCAACAGCUCAAAUUUGAAAUCUGGCCCCUAGGGCCCGAGUUGUAAUUUGCAGAGGAUGCUUUUGGUGAGGCGCCGCCUGAGUGCCCUGGAACGGGCUGCCAUAGAGGGUGAGAGCCCCGUCUGGCUGGCUGCCGAGCCUCUUUAAAGCUCCUUCGACGAGUCGAGUAGUUUGGGAAUGCUGCUCUAAAUGGGAGGUAUAUGUCUUCUAAAGCUAAAUAUUGGCCAGAGACCGAUAGCGCACAAGUAGAGUGAUCGAAAGAUGAAAAGCACUUUGAAAAGAGGGUUAAAUAGUACGUGAAAUUGUUGAAAGGGAAGCGCUCAUGACCAGACUUGGGCCUGGCGAAUCAUCCGGCGUUCUCGCCGGUGCACUUUGCCAGGUCCAGGCCAGCAUCAGUUCGCCGCGGGGGAUAAAGGCUUCGGGAACGUGGCUCCUCCGGGAGUGUUAUAGCCCGUUGCGUAAUACCCUGCGGUGGACUGAGGUCCGCGCAUCUGCAAGGAUGCUGGCGUAAUGGUCAUCAGCGACCCGUCUUGAAACACGGACCAAGGAGUCGUCCUCGUAUGCGAGUGUUCGGGUGUCAAACCCCUACGCGUAAUGAAAGUGAACGCAGGUGAGAGCUUCGGCGCAUCAUCGACCGAUCCUGAUGUUCUCGGAUGGAUUUGAGUAAGAGCAUACGGGGCCGGACCCGAAAGAAGGUGAACUAUGCCUGUAUAGGGUGAAGCCAGAGGAAACUCUGGUGGAGGCUCGCAGCGGUUCUGACGUGCAAAUCGAUCGUCAAAUAUGGGCAUGGGGGCGAAAGACUAAUCGAACCUUCUAGUAGCUGGUUUCCGCCGAAGU
rnacentral:rRNA from 1 species